rnacentral:rRNA from 1 species
GUGAGGAAUAUUGGUCAAUGGGCGGGAGCCUGAACCAGCCAAGUCGCGUGAAGGAAGAAGGAUCUAUGGUUCGUAAACUUCUUUUGCAGGGGAAUAAAGUGCAGGACGUGUCCUGUUUUGUAUGUACCCUGAGAAUAAGGAUCGGCUAACUCCGUGCCAGCAGCCGCGGUAAUACGGAGGAUCCGAGCGUUAUCCGGAUUUAUUGGGUUUAAAGGGUGCGUAGGUGGUUUGAUAAGUCAGCGGUGAAAGUUUGCAGCUUAACUGUAAAAAUGCCGUUGAAACUGUCGGACUUGAGUGUAAAUGAGGUAGGCGGAAUGCGUGGUGUAGCGGUGAAAUGCAUAGAUAUCACGCAGAACUCCGAUUGCGAAGGCAGCUUACUAAGCUACAACUGACACUGAAGCACGAAAGCGUGGGGAUCAAACAGGAUUAGAAACCCGAGUAGCC